rnacentral:lncRNA from 1 species
GGGACUGUGCAAUAUUUAUCUGAGGGUGGGGCCGGUGUACAGCAAAUAUUAAAAAAAAAAAAACUGUAUGCCCCGCCAAUAUUUAUUAUAAAAAAAGUUCUUGCCCCGCUUCAAUUAAUGAAAAAAAAAAGUCCUUGCCCCGCUGGAAAAAAAUGAAACACAUAUAUGGAAACAUGAUAUUUUUUAACUAAAAUGCACAACAUUCAAUAAUACAUGC